CUAGAUAAAAUUUCUCAUACAAUAACUAUUAACAUUAAUGUUCCCAGGGGAAAAAAAACCUUCAGAUAUUGGAAAAAGAAAAAUGAUGGAAAAAAUAAAAAAAAGAAGCAUCCCAAUCACUCUCCAGCUACAAGCAUCCUACUAAAAAAGACAUGGUUGAACCACAAAAGAUUUGAGGAAAAUAAUGACUUGAGUACCAAAGUGCCUGCCCACCAAUUCCAGAGGGACCCAUUCAGAUAAAGCCUCUCACUAGCAGCCAUAACAUGAAACGCAAUAGAUG
rnacentral:misc_RNA from 1 species